rnacentral:rRNA from 1 species
CAGCCGCCGCGGUAAUACGUAGGUGGCAAGCGUUAUCCGGAAUUAUUGGGCGUAAAGCGCGCGCAGGUGGUUUCUUAAGUCUGAUGUGAAAGCCCACGGCUCAACCGUGGAGGGUCAUUGGAAACUGGGAGACUUGAGUGCAGAAGAGGAAAGUAGAAUUCCAUGUGUAGCGGUGAAAUGCGUAGAGAUAUGGAGGAACACCAGUGGCGAAGGCGACUUUCUGGUCUGUAACUGACACUGAGGCGCGAAAGCGUGGGGAGCAAACAGGAUUAGAUACCCCUGUAGUCCCUGUCUCUUAUAC